rnacentral:rRNA from 1 species
UACGGAGGGUGCGAGCGUUGUCCGGAAUUACUGGGCGUAAAGCGCACGUAGGCGGAUAUUUAAGUCAGGGGUGAAAUCCCGGGGCUCAACCCCGGAACUGCCUUUGAUACUGGGUAUCUCGAGUCCGAGAGAGGUGAGUGGAAUUCCGAGUGUAGAGGUGAAAUUCGUAGAUAUUCGGAGGAACACCAGUGGCGAAGGCGGCUCACUGGCUCGGUACUGACGCUGAGGUGCGAAAGCGUGGGGAGCAAACAGG